GGUCCCGUAGUGUAGCGCUUAACACCCUGGACUCUGAACCCACUAACGCGAGUUCGAAUCUGGCCGGGACCU